ensembl:lncRNA
CUGAUGUUUCAUCAGAAGCACCUCAGCAGCUCUGGUGCUUUUUAAUAGUACAAAUAUUUAAUAUUGUACUGAACGUCAGGUCAGAGUUUGAUCAGUUUGCACACUGAUGUUUACUGAUUUGUUCCACAAUAAAAACUUUUAUUUUGACAAGUUAGAACGCUGUGGGUGGUUGCUAGGGCAUUUCUAUAUUGGUAACUAAGGUGUUCUGAGUGUUUUCAGUCUGUUGCUAUGCAGUUUUUAGAACGUUGUGGGUGGUUGCUAGGGCAUUGCUAUAUGGUUGCUAGGUGUUCUGAUUGUUUUCGGUCUGUUUCUAUGCAGUUUUUAGAACGUUGUGGGUGGUUGCUAGGGCAUUGCUAUAUGGUUACUAAGUGUUCUGAUUGUUUUCGGUCUGUUGCUAUGCAGUUUUUAGAACGUUGUUGCUGGUUGCUAGGGCAUUGCUAUAUGGUUGCUAAGUGUUCUGAUUGUUUUCGGUCUGUUGCUAUGCAGUUUUUAGAACAUUGUGGGUGGUUGCUAGGGCAUUGCUAUAUGGUUGCUAAGUGUUCUGAUUGUUUUCGGUCUGUUGCUAUGCAGUUUUUAGAACGUUGUGGGUGCUUGCUAGGGCAUUGCUAUAUGGUUGCUAAGUGUUCUGAUUGUUUUCAGUCUGUUGCUAUGCAGUUUUUAGAACGUUGUGGGUGGUUGCUAGGGCGUUGCUAUAUGGUUACUAAGAUGUUCUGAGUGUUUUU